CGAGUCCUACGGGGCGCAGCAGUGGGGAAUAUUGCACAAUGGGGGAAACCCUGAUGCAGCGACGCCGCGUGAGUGAAGAAGUAUCUCAGUACGUAAAGCUCUCUCAGCAGGGAAGAAAAAAAGUCUUUGGCUUUGGACGGUACCUGACUAAGAAGCCCCGGCUAACUACGUGCCAGCAGCCGCGGUAAUACGUAGGGGGCAAGCGUUAUCCGGAUUUACUGGGUGUAAAGGGAGCGUAGACGGCAGCGCAAGUCUGGAGUGAAAUGCCGUGGCUCAACCCCGGAACUGCUGU
rnacentral:rRNA from 1 species